CAGCAAUGGCUCUGCAUUUCAUUGUUCUGCUUCUCACCACUGUGCUUUUCUCCAAAGCACUGGCAUUGAAAUGCUAUGGAAAUAUAACAGAUCCAGUAACAGGAACAUGGUCAAAUUUGACAAAUGUCUGUUUAGGACAGUGUAACUCCAUGACCAGAAUGACAUUCCUAGGUGACCUUAAACUAAAUCAGAGCAUUAAGCUUUGCGGGGAUCCAUAUUCUUGUCUCAAUGGAAGCAUAAAUUAUGGACAAAGCAGAGUAACUGUAAACAGCCUAUGUUGUGGCACAGAUUACUGCAACAGUCAG